rnacentral:rRNA from 1 species
GACGAACGCUGGCGGCGUGCUUAACACAUGCAAGUCGAACGGAAAGGCCCGGCUUUUGUUGGUUGCUCGAGUGGCGAACGGGUGAGUAACACGUGAGUAACCUGCCCUUGACUUUGGGAUAACUUCAGGAAACUGGGGCUAAUACCGGAUAGGAUCUCCUGCUGCAUGGGGGGGGUUGGAAAGUUUCGGCGGUGGGGGAUGGACUCGCGGCUUAUCAGCUGGUUGGUGAGGUAGUGGCGUACCAGGGCUUUGACGGGUAGCCGGCCUGAGAGGGUGACCGGCCACAUUGGGACUGAGGUACGGCCCAGAAUCCUACGGGCGGCAGCAGUGGGGAAUAUUGCACAAUGGGCGGAAGCGUGAUGUAGCAACGCCGCGUGCGGGAUGACGGCCUUCGGGUUGUAAACCGCUUUCGCCUGUGACGAAGCGUGAGUGACGGUAAUGGGUAAAGAAGCACCGGCUAACUACGUG